GGGGGCGUACUGGCUUCGACUUGUGGUUGGAAGCGCAGGCGGCAUGUCGAGGAUGGUUCGUUGGCCUCGUAAAAAACCGGACCAAAAAAAUAAACGCAGAUCACGAAGAUCUCGCUCUCGCGGCUUAAUUGACCGCGACGUUUCCGGCGCGACGCCUGCUAGCAUCGGGAACGUGGACAGCAGGCUGGCCAAUCGGCGGGGCGACCGCGCCGAGCGGUGAAUCGAAUUUCGCGGACGCUCGGGGGCCGGCAGUGUGCCGGUGCAACGUUCGGCUCCUUAAAACUCAUCGCCGGAUAAACAUGUAGAUGGCUGCGUGGACAGCGACGAGGACAGGGGUUCAACUCCCCUCGCCUCCAGAU
rnacentral:tmRNA from 1 species